rnacentral:rRNA from 1 species
CUAAGUGGACUUGAUUGUGGCGAAAACUCUACAGUUAAGCGCGCUUGAGCCAGAGGCGUCUUGGGAUGGGUGACCACCUGGGAAGUCCUGGUUACCAGGU